AUGGGGACGCCCAAGACCUUGGCGGAUGCUCUGUUUCUGUCCUCCGUGUCCAUGCCCCUGAGGAAGCGCUCUGCUAGGGAGGCUGGAGAGGCCGGAGUUGCAGAGUUGCGAGAAGCAGGCAGCGGGUCCUGGAGUUAUCCAGAGAGACUUCUUCCCUGAUACAGGCACAGAAGGAGUACCUGGAGCCUGAGGAAAACAGAGAUUUGGAGCACAUGCGCCAGAUUGCCAUCAAGUUUGGCUCUGCCCUGGGCAAGGUAUCUCAGGAACCUCCACCCACCCUAUGUUACUCCAGCAACCUUUGAAACUCCUGAGGUACACCCAGGCUCUGCCGUGCUGGGCAACAAGCCCCGGCCCCAGGGCUGAGUCCUAGAUGAUGGAGAGGCUGGAGAGGAGAAGGAGAAGGAGCUGCUGCCCAGCCUGGAUGUCUUCGUGAGCCACUACACAAGUGAGGACAACGCCUCCUUCCAGGUGAUCAUGGAGGUAGCCAAGGAAAAAAGCCAUGCGCGGUACACGUGGGCUCUACCAGGCUGAGUAGGAAUUUGAGAAGGGACAGAAAGAUAAUCUUGAACUCCCAUCGGCAGAGCAUCAAGCCAUUGAGAGCAGUCAGGCUGGAGUGGAGACCUGGAAGUACAAGGCCAAGAACUCUCUCAUCCUGAUGAAGUGUCCCUGAUGAAGAGCAGUUGUUUAAGAAGCCACAGCAGAUAGUACACAAGAACACACGUUUCCUCCAGGACCCCUUCAGUCAGGCUUUGAGCUGGUCCCAGCUUCAGCGGGCAGCUGCCCUCAAUGCCCAGCACAAACAGGGCAAGGUCGGCCCUGAUGGCAAGGAACGCAUUCCCCAGGAGUCUAACAGAGUGGGCUGCUUUGGAUUUGUUGCCACUCCUUCUCCUGCUCCUGGUGUGAAUGAGUCCCCACUGAUGACAUGGGGAGAGGAACACGCCCCUGUGAGUUGAAGGAUCUGAGAGCCUCUAUGUGGACAGGACACCUGGACCCACACUCAAGAUCUUGGAGCCAGGACACAGGGAGCGUCUGGGCCUGAAGAUGGCCAAUGAAGCAGCUGCCAAAAACUGGGCCAAGAAGUAGGAAGCGUUGCAGAGAGUUACAGAGAACUUGGCCAGUCUUACUCCCAAAGGCCUGAACCCAGCCAUGUCCCCAGCCCUACAGCGCCUCCUAAGCAGGAAACCCAGCAAGUACACAGAUCAUGCCCUGCGGGCCAGCUAUACACCAUCCCCAGCACGCUCUUCCCAUCUCAAUACCCCAGCUGGUGGGCCGCAGACACCCACAAGCACCCCAGCCCCUGGGUCUGCUACAUGCCCACCCCUCACACAGGACCCAGCCUCCAUCACAGACAACCUGCUGCAGCUCUCUGCCCGGCACAAAGCUCCAGACUUUUUUUAG
rnacentral:lncRNA from 1 species